GAUCCUGGCUCAGGACGAACGCUGGCGGCGUGCCUAAUACAUGCAAGUCGAGCGGACAGAAGGGAGCUUGCUCCCGGAUGUUAGCGGCGGACGGGUGAGUAACACGUGGGUAACCUGCCUGUAAGACUGGGAUAACUCCGGGAAACCGGAGCUAAUACCGGAUAGUUCCUUGAACCGCAUGGUUCAAGGAUGAAAGACGGUUUCGGCUGUCACUUACAGAUGGACCCGCGGCGCAUUAGCUAGUUGGUGAGGUAACGGCUCACCAAGGCGACGAUGCGUAGCCGACCUGAGAGGGUGAUCGGCCACACUGGGACUGAGACACGGCCCAGACUCCUACGGGAGGCAGCAGUAGGGAAUCUUCCGCAAUGGACGAAAGUCUGACGGAGCAACGCCGCGUGAGUGAUGAAGGUUUUCGGAUCGUAAAGCUCUGUUGUUAGGGAAGAACAAGUGCAAGAGUAACUGCUUGCACCUUGACGGUACCUAACCAGAAAGCCACGGCUAACUACGUGCCAGCAGCCGCGGUAAUACGUAGGUGGCAAGCGUUGUCCGGAAUUAUUGGGCGUAAAGGGCUCGCAGGCGGUUUCUUAAGUCUGAUGUGAAAGCCCCCGGCUCAACCGGGGAGGGUCAUUGGAAACUGGGAAACUUGAGUGCAGAAGAGGAGAGUGGAAUUCCACGUGUAGCGGUGAAAUGCGUAGAGAUGUGGAGGAACACCAGUGGCGAAGGCGACUCUCUGGUCUGUAACUGACGCUGAGGAGCGAAAGCGUGGGGAGCGAACAGGAUUAGAUACCCUGGUAGUCCACGCCGUAAACGAUGAGUGCUAAGUGUUAGGGGGUUUCCGCCCCUUAGUGCUGCAGCUAACGCAUUAAGCACUCCGCCUGGGGAGUACGGUCGCAAGACUGAAACUCAAAGGAAUUGACGGGGGCCCGCACAAGCGGUGGAGCAUGUGGUUUAAUUCGAAGCAACGCGAAGAACCUUACCAGGUCUUGACAUCCUCUGACAACCCUAGAGAUAGGGCUUUCCCUUCGGGGACAGAGUGACAGGUGGUGCAUGGUUGUCGUCAGCUCGUGUCGUGAGAUGUUGGGUUAAGUCCCGCAACGAGCGCAACCCUUGAUCUUAGUUGCCAGCAUUCAGUUGGGCACUCUAAGGUGACUGCCGGUGACAAACCGGAGGAAGGUGGGGAUGACGUCAAAUCAUCAUGCCCCUUAUGA
rnacentral:rRNA from 1 species